rnacentral:rRNA from 1 species
AGCGUACACGGUGGAUGCCCUGGCAGUCAGAGGCGAUGAAGGACGUGCUAAUCUGCGAUAAGCGUCGGUAAGGUGAUAUGAACCGUUAUAACCGGCGAUUUCCGAAUGGGGAAACCCAGUGUGUUUCGACACACUAUCAUUAACUGAAUCCAUAGGUUAAUGAGGCGAACCGGGGGAACUGAAACAUCUAAGUACCCCGAGGAAAAGAAAUCAACCGAGAUUCCCCCAGUAGCGGCGAGCGAACGGGGAGCAGCCCAGAGCCUGAAUCAGUGUGUGUGUUAGUGGAAGCGUCUGGAAAGGCGUGCGAUACAGGGUGACAGCCCCGUACACAAAAAUGCACAUGCUGUGAGCUCGAUGAGUAGGGCGGGACACGUGGUAUCCUGUCUGAAUAUGGGGGGACCAUCCUCCAAGGCUAAAUACUCCUGACUGACCGAUAGUGAACCAGUACCGUGAGGGAAAGGCGAAAAGAACCCCGGCGAGGGGAGUGAAAAAGAACCUGAAACCGUGUACGUACAAGCAGUGGGAGCACGCUUAGGCGUGUGACUGCGUACCUUUUGUAUAAUGGGUCAGCGACUUAUAUUCUGUAGCAAGGUUAACCGAAUAGGGGAGCCGAAGGGAAACCGAGUCUUAACUGGGCGUUAAGUUGCAGGGUAUAGACCCGAAACCCGGUGAUCUAGCCAUGGGCAGGUUGAAGGUUGGGUAACACUAACUGGAGGACCGAACCGACUAAUGUUGAAAAAUUAGCGGAUGACUUGUGGCUGGGGGUGAAAGGCCAAUCAAACCGGGAGAUAGCUGGUUCUCCCCGAAAGCUAUUUAGGUAGCGCCUCGUGAAUUCAUCUCCGGGGGUAGAGCACUGUUUCGGCAAGGGGGUCAUCCCGACUUACCAACCCGAUGCAAACUGCGAAUACCGGAGAAUGUUAUCACGGGAGACACACGGCGGGUGCUAACGUCCGUCGUGAAGAGGGAAACAACCCAGACCGCCAGCUAAGGUCCCAAAGUCAUGGUUAAGUGGGAAACGAUGUGGGAAGGCCCAGACAGCCAGGAUGUUGGCUUAGAAGCAGCCAUCAUUUAAAGAAAGCGUAAUAGCUCACUGGUCGAGUCGGCCUGCGCGGAAGAUGUAACGGGGCUAAACCAUGCACCGAAGCUGCGGCAGCGACGCUGAUGCGUUGUUGGGUAGGGGAGCGUUCUGUAAGCCUGCGAAGGUGUGCUGUGAGGCAUGCUGGAGGUAUCAGAAGUGCGAAUGCUGACAUAAGUAACGAUAAAGCGGGUGAAAAGCCCGCUCGCCGGAAGACCAAGGGUUCCUGUCCAACGUUAAUCGGGGCAGGGUGAGUCGACCCCUAAGGCGAGGCCGAAAGGCGUAGUCGAUGGGAAACAGGUUAAUAUUCCUGUACUUGGUGUUACUGCGAAGGGGGGACGGAGAAGGCUAUGUUGGCCGGGCGACGGUUGUCCCGGUUUAAGCGUGUAGGCUGGUUUUCCAGGCAAAUCCGGAAAAUCAAGGCUGAGGCGUGAUGACGAGGCACUACGGUGCUGAAGCAACAAAUGCCCUGCUUCCAGGAAAAGCCUCUAAGCAUCAGGUAACAUCAAAUCGUACCCCAAACCGACACAGGUGGUCAGGUAGAGAAUACCAAGGCGCUUGAGAGAACUCGGGUGAAGGAACUAGGCAAAAUGGUGCCGUAACUUCGGGAGAAGGCACGCUGAUAUGUAGGUGAAGCGACUUGCUCGUGGAGCUGAAAUCAGUCGAAGAUACCAGCUGGCUGCAACUGUUUAUUAAAAACACAGCACUGUGCAAACACGAAAGUGGACGUAUACGGUGUGACGCCUGCCCGGUGCCGGAAGGUUAAUUGAUGGGGUCAGCGCAAGCGAAGCUCUUGAUCGAAGCCCCGGUAAACGGCGGCCGUAACUAUAACGGUCCUAAGGUAGCGAAAUUCCUUGUCGGGUAAGUUCCGACCUGCACGAAUGGCGUAAUGAUGGCCAGGCUGUCUCCACCCGAGACUCAGUGAAAUUGAACUCGCUGUGAAGAUGCAGUGUACCCGCGGCAAGACGGAAAGACCCCGUGAACCUUUACUAUAGCUUGACACUGAACAUUGAGCCUUGAUGUGUAGGAUAGGUGGGAGGCUUUGAAGUGUGGACGCCAGUCUGCAUGGAGCCGACCUUGAAAUACCACCCUUUAAUGUUUGAUGUUCUAACGUUGACCCGUAAUCCGGGUUGCGGACAGUGUCUGGUGGGUAGUUUGACUGGGGCGGUCUCCUCCUAAAGAGUAACGGAGGAGCACGAAGGUUGGCUAAUCCUGGUCGGACAUCAGGAGGUUAGUGCAAUGGCAUAAGCCAGCUUGACUGCGAGCGUGACGGCGCGAGCAGGUGCGAAAGCAGGUCAUAGUGAUCCGGUGGUUCUGAAUGGAAGGGCCAUCGCUCAACGGAUAAAAGGUACUCCGGGGAUAACAGGCUGAUACCGCCCAAGAGUUCAUAUCGACGGCGGUGUUUGGCACCUCGAUGUCGGCUCAUCACAUCCUGGGGCUGAAGUAGGUCCCAAGGGUAUGGCUGUUCGCCAUUUAAAGUGGUACGCGAGCUGGGUUUAGAACGUCGUGAGACAGUUCGGUCCCUAUCUGCCGUGGGCGCUGGAGAACUGAGGGGGGCUGCUCCUAGUACGAGAGGACCGGAGUGGACGCAUCACUGGUGUUCGGGUUGUCAUGCCAAUGGCACUGCCCGGUAGCUAAAUGCGGAAGAGAUAAGUGCUGAAAGCAUCUAAGCACGAAACUUGCCCCGAGAUGAGUUCU